rnacentral:rRNA from 1 species
GCAGUAGCCGCGGUAAUACAGAGGGUGUGAGCGUUAAUCGGAUUUACUGGGCGUAAAGCGUGCGUAGGCGGCUUCUUAAGUCGGAUGUGAAAUCCCUGAGCUUAACUUAGGAAUUGCAUUCGAUACUGGGAAGCUAGAGUAUGGGAGAGGAUGGUAGAAUUCCAGGUGUAGCGGUGAAAUGCGUAGAGAUCUGGAGGAAUACCGAUGGCGAAGGCAGCCAUCUGGCCUAAUACUGACGCUGAGGUACGAAAGCAUGGGGAGCAAACAGGAUUAGAUACCCGCGUAGUCCCUGUCUCUUAUAA